GAUGACGCUGGCGGCGUGCCUAAUACAUGCAAGUCGAGCGAGCGGCGGACGGGUGAGUAAUGUCUGGGAAACUGCCUGAUGGCGGGGGAUAACUACUGGAAACGGUAGCUAAUACCGCAUACCAUCAGAUGUGCCCAGAUGGGAUUAGCUAGUAGGUGGGGUAAUGGCUCACCUAAGCGACGAACCCUAGCUGGUCUGAUAGGAUGACCAGCCCCACUAGAACUGAGACCCGGUCCAGGCUCCGACGGGAGGCAGGAGUGGGGAAUAUUGCACAAUGGGCGCAAGCCUGAUGCAGCCAGGCCGCGUGUGUGAAGGAGGCCUUCGGGUUGUAAAGCACUUUCAGCGAGGAGGCGUUACUCGCAGAAGAAGCACCGGCUAACUCCGUGCCAGCAGCCGCGGUAAUAC
rnacentral:rRNA from 1 species